AUGACGUCUCUGUUCAUCUCAGUGUUGCUGGCUGCUAUGUAUGUGACUGCUACUGAAGGAGAACCAGUAACACUUAGAUGUCAAUAUAACACAAGUGGAACACAACAUUACCUCUUCUGGUACAAACAGGAUGGAAACAACAGACCCAAAUUCAUCCUGAGCCGCUUUAGUUUUGCUCAGGGGAAAACAGAGGACGAGUUUACGAAAAGAUUUUCAUCUACGUUGGAUUCAACCUCAAGAUCAGUUCCUCUGCAGAUCUCCUCUGCUGCAGUGACAGACUCUGCUGUGUACUACUGUGCUCUGAAGUCCAGUUCAUCUCCACAUCUGCUCAUCAUGGGGUAUUCAGACACAGUAAAAGGAUAUUUUUCUUUGAAACAUGAAAGAGAAGCAACCAUAUUUCACUUGAAGAUCUCCUCUGCUGCAGUGACAGACUCUGCUGUAUACUACUGUGCUCUGCAGCCCACAGUGACAGGAAAC